UAGCAAUACUAGGUUGAGCCAGUGACGAACGGGUGCGUAACACGUGAGUCAUCUGCCUGAAAGUGGGGGAUAGCUCGCCGAAAGGCGAAUUAAUACCGCAUGUGCCCCGAAGCAAUUCGGGGUAAAGCCGGGGCAACCUGGCGCUUUUAGAUGAGCUCGCGGCCUAUCAGCUUGUUGGUAAGGUAACGGCUUACCAAGGCUUCGACGGGUAGCUGGUCUGAGAGGACGACCAGCCACACUGGAACUGAGACACGGUCCAGACACCUACGGGUGGCAGCAGUCGAGAAUUUUUCUCAAUGUGUUUUAACCCUGAAGGAGCGACGCCGCGUGGAGGAUGAAGGCUUUCGGGUUGUAAACUCCUGUCAUUUGGGAACAAUACCUUACGUUAACUGCGUGGAGGUUUGAUAGUACCAGAAGAGGAAGAGACGGCUAACUCUGUGCCAGCAGCCGCGGUAAUACAGAGGUCUCGAGCGUUGUUCGGAUUCAUUGGGCGUAAAGGGCGCGUAGGCUGCGGGGCAAGUCGGGUGUGAAAUCUCAGAGCUCAACUCUGAAACUGCACUCGAUACUGCUUUGCUAGAGGACUGGAGAGGAGAUUGGAAUUCACGGUGUAGCA
rnacentral:rRNA from 1 species